UCCAUCGUCAUCCAAACAAACAGGAAACUUGCUCUACAGAAAGUAAUUCUUGCUGUUUUUCUUUAUACAUUUCUCAAAAUAUCUUUUAAAUACUUUGUUACAGUAGGUAGUCAGGCCUACAUGAGCAGGGCAAGAGAGCCCUUCCAUCCCAACAGAAAUGUCAGGUUACCAUUAGAUGAUGGUCAGGCAGUUGUUAAACUGUCUCUCUAAAAAAAUAAUUGGUUACAGCCAGUGCCGUGGAAAGGCAGUCUCCCAGCAGAUAGAAACACCUGAAACUGGUGAUCAGCUUCCCAGUAAGGUCUCAGGAGUUGCGCAAGUGGGCUCAAGCAUGCGCAUUAAGAGGCAAAAUGGCGGAGUUUAACUGGUAGAUGACCUUGCACGGACAUUUGACUGGUACGGGAAGAACGCUUCAAAUGAGCAUACAUACAGCUCCGGUAAACACACUGCACGUGUGGCACCUCCAAGAGCGGGCAGGCAACUGCACAGGCAGACAGCCCACCCCAAGGGCAGAAUCAGGGAAGAAGAGACGCAGGACCCCGGAAGCAUGCCAACGUCACACCGCGCACUUCAUCCCUCAAGUCACCCGCGUGGCCCUCUUGCGAUCACAAGUGUACCAGAGCUUAACGACAACAACAACAAAACAGGAAAAACAAAUGAAGUACAAGAAGUGGAUGGAAAGAGGGUCUCACUCUGUCGCCAGCUAGAAUGCAGUGGCACAAUCCCAGCUCAGUGCAGCCUCAACCUCCAGGGCUCAAGUGAUCCUCCCACCUCAGCCUCCUGAGUAACUGGGACUACAGAUGUACACCACCACGCCCAGGAUUGCUGGGAAGAUCAAGGAAGAGAAAAUGAAUAAUAUAUGUAAGAGAACUUUGCACACUACAUAGCCCUACACAGAACGCAUUAUUACCAAGUAUUUUACAUUUAUAAAGUGCUUUUCAAAGCACUCUCCACUUAAAAUUCAAUUCACAAUCACCAGCUAAGGCUGAAGAUUCAGACACAAAAUCCCCGCCUGCAUGAAGCUCAUGUUCUGGACUCUAGAGGAAUCAGGUAAUCCUGUCUAUACCUGUGGAAAAUGCUGUGAAAACAUAGGAUGUUGCUACAAAGAAGUUGGCGUCCAAAUUAGAGAAAUGAGUGCAUCGCUCCUGUUCUCAGGACUCUGGAUUUCUGCAACCUUCUUAAAAUCUUUAAUGAAUAUUUGAAAUUAUCUCAUUGCACCUGUUAUCAAUCCUCUGAUAGGAACCAAGAGAGAUAUAUGUUAUUUCUGAGAAAAGUGAGGCUUCGAAAAGAUAAACAACCUCAUUGUGAUUCAAUGACUUGACGUUCAGCUCACAGUCUAGAAAAUGGCUAAGUGGCAAAACUGGUCUUCAGACUCAAGAAAUGUUCAGUAUUAUACAAUAGAGUGCAUUUGGUGUUUGC
rnacentral:lncRNA from 1 species